rnacentral:rRNA from 1 species
CCUACGGGAGGCAGCAGUGGGGAAUAUUGGGCAAUGGGCGCAAGCCUGACCCAGCAACGCCGCGUGAAGGAAGAAGGCUUUCGGGUUGUAAACUUCUUUUGACAGGGAAGAGCAGAAGACGGUACCUGUCGAAUAAGCCACGGCUAACUACGUGCCAGCAGCCGCGGUAAUACGGAGGUGGCAAGCGUUGUCCGGAUUUACUGGGUGGAAAGGGCGUGUAGCCGGGCUGACAAGUCAGAUGUGAAAUCCCGGGGCUCAACCCCCGAACUGCAUUUGAAACUGUUGGGCUUGAGUAUCGGAGAGGCAGGCGGAAUUCCUAGUGUAGCGGUGAAAUGCGUAGAUAUUAGGAGGAACACCAGUGGCGAAGGCGGCCUGCUGGACGACAACUGACGGUGAGGCGCGAAAGCGUGGGGAGCAAACAGGAUUAGAUACCCCAGUAGUC